CGCGCAGCUAUCUUACAGCACGAGACGGAGACGACGAAUGGACGGAUAGCAAAGGAAGGAAGGAAGAAAGGAGAGAGGAAGGAGGGGGGCGAGGAAAAGAGCGAGAGAGGGAGGACAGGAGGGGGAUAAUGGAAAGGAGGGAGUAAGGGAGGAAGAGAGGGAAAGCAUAGGGAUAGUAGUGGGGAGGAAGAGCGAUAAAGGGGAAGAGGGAAAGAGAGGAUUUGCGACGUUGCCGGCAUGCAGCCAGUGACGGCAAGCCGCUGCCGCGUAAUCGUAGUCGUAUUCGUAUUCCUAGAGCAAACACGAGGCCGCAGGAUCUCCGGCGGGCCGACGGCCAAUGGAGUGGGGUGGGGCGCGCGCGCACGAACGCGCGCGCGACCGACUCGAGUGCCGAGUCGUGACUAGGAGGAGGAUGAGAUGAGAAGGGUGAAAGGGAAGGGAAGAGUGAAAGGGAGGGGCAGAGGAAAGAGACUCGAGAAGAUCGCCGGGGAAGAGAGAAGGGCAAGACGGAAGGCGGCAACGGGUGGCACACGCAUCGCGAGCGUGGCUGUGGCUGCCUCCUCUCUUUUCGUGUGUACGUGUGUCUGUUUGUCUGCCUGAACGCGCGCGCAGCAGCGCGCACACGAGCGUCGUCGAACGCACGCACGCCCUGACGUACGCAUGCGCGAACAGAGCACUGUUGAGGAGUAGGAGUUGGAGGAGAAGUAAAAGGAAGAGGAAGGGGUCGAGGGAUAGGAGGAAAAGUGGUAGGGAUGAAAACAGGUUGACUCUCUCUCUCUCUCCCCCUCUAUUCCGCGCGCGCGCGCACACGCGAGGCAUCGUGCUGACCAUGCCAAAGAGUGGGAGGCAAUAGUGCUCUGUUAAAUCGUCAUGGUGGGAGAAAAUCACAGCGCAAGAGGAGGAGGAGAAGACGGAGGAGGUGGAAGGAAACAUCAACGACGAUCGGUGACGAUACGAGGAAUAAAGAGGGUUAAAUCGUGCAAUGUGUCAGACUAGUAUAGAGGGCGAACAACAAAUACGUCUCCAAUCCAGAACCCGCAUGCUCGAUCGGAAGAUUACCACACCUACUGUUGGUGCAUGCGCGAUCACGAGCCUUUUACCUGUCAUCCGUGAGUAAUAAUCUUGUAAAGGUACGCUGCACCGCGUGUGGAUUAUAUAGAAGGCUGCUGAAGGGGGUAGGGUGGGGUGUAGUCCAGGAGAAGAACGAGGAGAAGGAGAAAGAAGAUAAAGAAGAAGAAGGAGGAGGAGGAGGAGGAGGAGAAGGAGAAGAAGGAGAAGAAGAAGAAGAAGAAGAAAGGAUCAACAACCUGCGGGCACUCCUCUCUCCUGGCUUGGAAGGUAGAAUUCUCCUCUGGCGAAAGCAAUGAACUAUGCUGACAACGGCAGAUCUAUCCGCGCCUUUACUCCGUACCUUUCCUAUGGCAUACACCGCACAUACCUAUAGACUAGGUAUUUCUACCAACCUUCCAUACCUAACGGUCGCACAAGAAACUUCAGCCAUUAUUGCGGUGAUUGCCGGUGGUACCUGUUAACGCGUAUCCACGCAGAUAUCCAUAGCUACUGCCACCACGAUCGGCAUCGUGGAUAGACAAGGUUAAUGCCACUCAAAGAGAGAGAGAGAGAGAGAGAGAGAGAGAGAGAGAGAGAGAGAGAGAGGAUCGAAAAGAUCCAAGCUACGUAAUAUCCUAGUUUAUCGACCACACCCAAUCAAAGAAAUCGAGAUCGGGCGUGAUUUUUAUAUUCUUAAGAAACGAACGUUUCAUACGUACGUGAGUAUUUCGAAAGAAUUGAAUCUAAAGGAAAGAUCGUUCGUACUUUGUUGUACUCACUUAUAUUGGAGAAUGGUAUUAACGAAGAAGGAAAUGUUCUAAUCCAAAUUUAUUUGAUAUUUUAAGACAGUUAUAAACGUUGGGAGAAUAAAAAUUAUAAUGAAGCAAAAUGAUUCUCUUUUCUUUAACAUCGAAUCGCCAUUUGUUAUCUAUCCUCUUAUUGGAGAUAGAAUUCCUCAGGUUCUUUGUAAAGGUUUUAUGGAUAAAGUUGCUUAUGAUAAAAUAAGUAAAAUAUUUUAUUAGAUGGUAAGUUAUAAUCUAUCGGCUAUGUUGGAUAUAAGGAAAGAAAGAAUCAACGAAGA